AGGAUCAAAAACUAUAAUCAAUAUGCGAUCGAAUUGUGAAUUGCCCACAAAAGAUCGGCGAAACAGAAAUUGUUGUACGCCAAUCUGCAGGAUCGUCGACUUAUACGAUUUUCCGAUGCAUAGAGAGCUAAUCUUCAAUUGUCGGCUGCAUUAAUCUUGAAUUUGCCGCCGCCAAGGUUUUUCCGAUACUUUAGGAUGAUAAUUCUUCAAUUGCCGCUACCAAAUUUCCUCUAAUCAGCGAUCGAAUGUUUUUUCCGAUGAGCUACCGAGCAAAGAUUCCUCCGAUGCGAUAGUGAGAGAAGAAAGAGCUUCAAAAAUC
rnacentral:misc_RNA from 1 species